AAGAAUACAAAAUACCCACCAAAGAAACUAAGAGAACAUCAUCAACCUAACAAAUGAUUAAGAAAGCUUCCUUUACAGGAACUGAAAAACACUAGUGUUUUUACCACUGACCAAACAGUACAUCAGAAGAAAUGCAAACUGAGUUUGUGUAACAAAAGUGAUGACUUUGGAAGAAUGGUAUAUAACUAUCUUUAUCCAAUGAUCAUAACAAUCAGGAUGUUGUAUUCUAAACACUUGUUGUAUAUACAUCAAUAUCCAUUUCCUGUAACAUUGAAAAAGCUUUACUUAGUCUUCAGAUACUUUUGAUACCAACUGGUCCCUCUGCAUAGCCUGCAAUUCAAGAAGGUGGAAACUGAAAACACACACAUCAUAAAAGAAAAGCAUAAGCAAGUAUUCACUCAAAAGGACUUUACAUUUUCAAAAAAUAGAAUCUCAGGUCGAAUAUGCAGAUUCCGGAAUUUGCUGAGAACACCAUCCCAGUCUCCAAUAACCUGGAAAACCAACAUACAUCACUUAGUCACAGAUCAAGUAACUU
rnacentral:lncRNA from 1 species